rnacentral:rRNA from 2 species
AGAGUUUGAUCCUGGCUCAGGAUGAACGCUGGCGGCGUGCCUAAUACAUGCAAGUCGAGCGAACGGACGAGAAGCUUGCUUCUCUGAUGUUAGCGGCGGACGGGUGAGUAACACGUGGAUAACCUACCUAUAAGACUGGGAUAACUUCGGGAAACCGGAGCUAAUACCGGAUAAUAUUUUGAACCGCAUGGUUCAAAAGUGAAAGACGGUCUUGCUGUCACUUAUAGAUGGAUCCGCGCUGCAUUAGCUAGUUGGUAAGGUAACGGCUUACCAAGGCAACGAUGCAUAGCCGACCUGAGAGGGUGAUCGGCCACACUGGAACUGAGACACGGUCCAGACUCCUACGGGAGGCAGCAGUAGGGAAUCUUCCGCAAUGGGCGAAAGCCUGACGGAGCAACGCCGCGUGAGUGAUGAAGGUCUUCGGAUCGUAAAACUCUGUUAUUAGGGAAGAACAUAUGUGUAAGUAACUGUGCACAUCUUGACGGUACCUAAUCAGAAAGCCACGGCUAACUACGUGCCAGCAGCCGCGGUAAUACGUAGGUGGCAAGCGUUAUCCGGAAUUAUUGGGCGUAAAGCGCGCGUAGGCGGUUUUUUAAGUCUGAUGUGAAAGCCCACGGCUCAACCGUGGAGGGUCAUUGGAAACUGGAAAACUUGAGUGCAGAAGAGGAAAGUGGAAUUCCAUGUGUAGCGGUGAAAUGCGCAGAGAUAUGGAGGAACACCAGUGGCGAAGGCGACUUUCUGGUCUGUAACUGACGCUGAUGUGCGAAAGCGUGGGGAUCAAACAGGAUUAGAUACCCUGGUAGUCCACGCCGUAAACGAUGAGUGCUAAGUGUUAGGGGGUUUCCGCCCCUUAGUGCUGCAGCUAACGCAUUAAGCACUCCGCCUGGGGAGUACGACCGCAAGGUUGAAACUCAAAGGAAUUGACGGGGACCCGCACAAGCGGUGGAGCAUGUGGUUUAAUUCGAAGCAACGCGAAGAACCUUACCAAAU